rnacentral:rRNA from 1 species
UAAGAGGUCCCGCCUGCCCAGUGACUCCUGAGUUCAACGGCCGCGGUAUUUUAACCGUGCAAAGGUAGCGUAAUCACUUGUUUUUUAAAUGAAGACCUGUAUGAAUGGCAUAACGAGGGCUUAACUGUCUCCUUUUUCCAGUCAAUGAAAUUGAUCCUCCCGUGCAGAAGCGGGAAUCCACACAUAAGACGAGAAGACCCUAUGAAGCUUUAGACACUAGAACAGCCCAAAUCAAAAACUUUCCAUAAAAAGACUAAGCCAGCUGGCCCCUUUUCUAAUGUCUUUGGUUGGGGCGACCAUGGAGAAUCACAAAGCCUCCACGCGGAAUGGAAUCAAACCUUUCUACAACCAAGAAUUACAAUUCUAAGUAUCAGAACUUCUGACCUCUCGUGAUCCGGCCAAAGCCGAUCAACGGACCGAGUUACUCUAGGGAUAACAGCGCAAUCUCCUUCAAGAGCCCCUAUCGACAAGGAGGUUUACGACCUCGAUGUUGGAUCAGGACAUCCUAAUGGCGCAGCCGUUAUUAAGGGUUCGUUUGUUCAACGAUUAACAGUCC